rnacentral:rRNA from 1 species
CCCGAAAGAUCGAACGGGGAGAUUCAUCGUCAGCGGCGUCGGCUUCGCCGCGGUCAGCGAUGCCUCGGGCCUUCGGGUCUCCGUGGCACGCGGCCGCGUCGCGUUAUGUCCGGCGACGUGGGCGUGCACUUCUCCCCUGGUAGAACGUCGCGACCCGUUGGGCGUCGGCAUAAGGCACAAUCGGCACAGACUGUCCCGGCGUUCGCGUCGGGGCAAACCGAGAGUUUCGCCCGGUCGGCUGCCCGACGGUACACGCACGGUAUUUGGCCGCAUCGAACGUGUGCGCCCGGCCCGUCGCAAGCGCGGUCAGCGAUUCCCGGUGGUCGGACCUAGCGCCGUCCCCGGGCCUGGCCAGCUGUUGGCGAUCGGUGUCCUCGGGCCGGCCAUUAUAAUACCGGUCGGCGACGCUAUUGCUUUGGGUACUUUCA